rnacentral:lncRNA from 1 species
AUCCCGCAAACUUUUGCUGGUUCCAGGAUAUCGCCACAGCGGGCACUUUACAUCUUCCUUUCGAUUAGUGGAAAGGGGGCUGGCGCGUACGCCUAGCCCCACUACCAAAAAUUACAUGCUCCAGCUACCCCGACUUGGGGAAGUGGCGUGCUUCAGCCAGCCGCAGUGCAAUGGACAGGCCUCAGCACGGGGCCACGGCCUCAGUGAUCACCGCCAACCCAGCACCAGGUGAUGCCACGCGGCAUAACGAAAAGCUUAACAGAUCCAUUGCAAAAAGACGAGACCAACAGUGGAGAGGUACGAGGCUGCGCUGUCUUGCUCGAAGCCUGCAGAACAGUUUAAGCUGAUCAGCAGAGCUCGCAUGAUGACCAAGACCACUGGAGCCCUGGUCUGAGGGGCCCACCUU